rnacentral:ribozyme from 1 species
UAUUGUUUCUCUCAUCCUUUUACCCCCUCCCUGUCUCUUUUGCUCUUUGAAAACAGGUCGGAAUGAUUGAGGUGCGUCACGACACUCUCCAGAAAGGAAAAAAGGGAAACGAAUUGGAUGGUCACUCUUCAAUCUUGUACAGUAGCAAAGAAAUCUCAAAUACGUUUCUUUUGUCG